UCUCAUCUGAUCGACUAUUUGGGAAGCUGCCUCGGAGGCGGUAUUGGUUUAGCGGGCUGUGAACCAGGUAAGUUCGCGGGGUUCCUAGGAGGCGGUAUUGGUUUAGCAGGCUGUGAACCAGGUAAGUUCGCCAGGUUCCUGGGAGGCGGUAUUGGUUUAGCAGGCUGUGAACCAGGUAAGUUCGCCGGGUUCCUGGGAGGAGGUAUUGGUUUAGCAGGUUGCAAACCAGGUAAGUUUGCCGGGUUCCUGGGAGGAGGUAUUGGUUUAGCAGAGUAACUUUGAGCAGGCGGGUUGUAGCCAGGCCUCAUUGAAGGGUUGGGGGCUCCGUAAGCAUGGCUUGUUGGAGGGUAUGGAGGUUCAUAUCCAUAGUCCGGUGUAGGGUAAGGAGGUUGAAAGCCACGGCCGGUAGCGGGG
rnacentral:lncRNA from 1 species